rnacentral:lncRNA from 1 species
CAACCGAAGUCGAGCAUACAUACGACGAUCUUUAUGCAUGAAUAGCCGGGAGGAAAGAAAGGGCGGUAGAUGAUAAUGAAAAAGGGCGCCGCGUCGGGCUUUACAUUUAUUAUUGAAAGCGGGCGGAAUAGAUGAGCGAAAGGUGCCAUGGAGUGAGGAAGAUCCCGAGUCUCAUGUAAGACAACUAAAUGCACCUCGAGGCCGAGGAACCAGACAACUAAAUGCACCUCGAUGCCGAGGAACUGGGGGACCUUAUCGAGCACAGGAUAG